UGGGGAAUAUUGCACAAUGGGCGAAAGCCCGAUGCAGCGACGCCGCGUGAGGGAUGACGGCCUUCGGGUUGUAAACCUCUUUCAGCAGGGACGAAGCGCAAGUGACGGUACCUGCAGAAGAAGCACCGGCUAACUACGUGCCAGCAGCCGCGGUAAUACGUAGGGUGCAAGCGUUGUCCGGAAUUACUGGGCGUAAAGAGUUCGUAGGCGGUUUGUCGCGUCGUUUGUGAAAACCAGCAGCUCAACUGCUGGCUUGCAGGCGAUACGGGCAGACUUGAGUACUGCAGGGGAGACUGGAAUUCCUGGUGUAGCGGUGAAAUGCGCAGAUAUCAGGAGGAACACCGGUGGCGAAGGCGGGUCUCUGGGCAGUAACUGACGCUGAGGAACGAAAGCGUGGGUAGCGAACAGG
rnacentral:rRNA from 1 species